rnacentral:snoRNA from 1 species
UGGCAUGUUUCCAAAGUCUAUGGCUAAUCGUGGCCAUGGCAUCUCCAACUGCAUGCAAGAGCAACCUGGAGAGACUUUCUGGAGAGACUUUGACAGUGCAGGUCACCAAAACUAUUCUAACAAA